UACGAAGGGGGCUAGCGUUGUUCGGAAUUACUGGGCGUAAAGGGCGCGUAGGCGGUGUGUCAAGUCAGGCGUGAAAGCCCCGGGCUCAACCUGGGAACCGCGCUUGAGACUGGCACGCUCGAGUUCGGGAGAGGAUGGUGGAAUUCCCGAGUGUAGAGGUGAAAUUCGUAGAUAUUGGGAAGAACACCGAUGGCGAAGGCAGCCAUCUGGACCGACACUGACGCUGAGGCGCGAAAGCGUGGGGAGCAACAGGGA
rnacentral:rRNA from 1 species